UCCCAGGUGGCUUAAUGGGUAAAGAACCUGUCUGCAAGUCAGGACAUGGAGGAGACGUGAGUUCAAUCCUUUUGUUGGGAA
rnacentral:tRNA from 1 species